rnacentral:tRNA from 1 species
GUAGAUGUAGUUUAAAAAUAAAACGCUAGAUUGUGAUUCUAGAAAUAAGAGUUAAUAUCUCUUUAUCCACC